UCCAUCGUGGUGCAGUGGUAGCACGCCCGACCACACACGGCGUCACGCCGCACUACUCACGAGGGUGCCGUAUGCAGCUUCCGAUACGUCGGUCAAGCACUGCACGCAUACGCGAUGCUGGCGCUGCAAGCUAGUCUGGAGGCCCGAGUUCGACUCUCGGCGAUGGAG